GCAUUGGUGGUUCAGUGGUAGAAUUCUUGCCUUCCAGGAGGAGUCCCGGGUUCGAUUCCUGACCAAAGCA
rnacentral:tRNA from 1 species